AUUGAACGCUGGCGGCAGGCCUAACACAUGCAAGUCGAGCGGGGUUUUCGGACCUAGCGGCGGACGGGUGAGUAAUGCGAAGGAAGCUACCCGAUAGAGGGGGAUACCAGUUGGAAACGACUGUUAAUACCGCAUAAUGUCUACGGACCAAAGUGUGGGACCUUCGGGCCACAUGCUAUCGGAUGCGCCUACGUGGGAUUAGCUAGUUGGUGGGGUAAUGGCUCACCAAGGCGACGAUCCCUAGCUGGUUUGAGAGGAUGAUCAGCCACACUGGAACUGAGACACGGUCCAGACUCCUACGGGAGGCAGCAGUGGGGAAUAUUGGACAAUGGGCGCAAGCCUGAUCCAGCCAUGCCGCGUGUGUGAAGAAGGCCUUCGGGUUGUAAAGCACUUUCAGUAGGGAGGAAGGGUUAAGUGUUAAUAGUACUUAACUUUGACGUUACCUACAGAAGAAGCACCGGCUAACUCUGUGCCAGCCGCCGCAGUAAGAC
rnacentral:rRNA from 1 species